CCAGCCCUUUUAUUUUUUAUUUUGAGACAGGGUCUCACAAAGUUGCUGAGACUGGCUUUGACUUUGCAAAAGAGCCAAUCACAUUUUUAAGAGUAGUCAUGGUCAGCUGGGGUGUGGUAUCAUGGGCCAGUGACUCAUGAGGCUAAGGCAGGAGGAUCCAAAGUUCGAGGCCAGCCUGAGCAAUUUAGCAAGACCUUGUCUAACAAUUAAAAAAGAAAAAGGAGCUGGAUGUGGUGGCAUGUACCUGUAAUCCUAGUGACUCAGGAGUCUGAGGCAGGAGGAUUGCAAGUUCAAGGCCAGCCUCAGCAAAUAACAAAUCCCUAAGCAACUUGGUGAGAACCUGUCUCAAAAUAAAAUAAUAAUAAUAAUAAAAAGGGUUGGGGAUGUGGGUAAGUGCCCCGGGGUUCAAUCCCUGGUACCAAAAAGGAAAAAAAAGAAAAAAAGGAACUGUGAAUGUAGCUCAGGGAUAGAGCACCCCUGGGUUCUAUACCCUGUACCACAAAAAUUAAUGAGUUGUAGUAGUAGUCAUGAUGCAGGGUAUUGUUUUUUUUCAAAUUAAUGUUCUCCACUGUUAUAUUCAGAUUCAGCAAAUGACCACAUCACUCCAAGUAUUGUGACAUCUCAUUUUGAAUUUAUUUCCACAUUUAUAAAUUUCCACAUUUAUAGUUCUUAGGUGAAGACCAAUAUGCUAUUGUCUAGUACCACAGUAAAACAUCCAUCCAUCAAACUUUGUAUAUUGGAAGCUAACUACUACUGAGCAAAUAUGUCAACUGUCCAAAAUACUGGAAAUUCACUAGUCUUGCUAAUUGCAGAAAAACUUUAUGCAGCCUUUUUGGGCUGUCAAGACUUUUAGUAGCAAAUCUCUUUGAGAAAGGAGUCUCUUUUCUUUCCUGAGACUUUUGAUCAUCAGACUUUGCUCUCUCUUUUCAUCUUAAAGACCUGUGAUGUUUUCCACAGAGGUCUGGAGAUUGGGUUUUAGAAAUGCUAGUUCCAAGAACAGAUUUUCAUUUAUCUACAAAUUAUAAAUAAAUAAGAGUGGUUGGAAACUAAAUUACUUGAAAUUUGCAUUUAAUUACAGGCCAGCUUCACUUAAGGUUCUGGAUGUUUUGGAUCACUUCUUAGAUGCCUUAUUUAAUGGCCCGUGGUCCCAUUGCCACAGUGAAAUAGAAUUAAUAACAAGUAUUCUAUGCUGACUUAAUACUUGACAAACAUAUCAUUCUUUGUUAAAAAAAAUAUCCUGGCAAAUCUAGCAGGUUUCAAAAGGAUUCUAAUUUUUUAGAAAUACAAGUCCUUAAUUAUAGCUGUAGAGAAAUUUGAGAUGAACAUAUUAACCAACACAUGACAAAUAUAGACACUGUACUGUCCUGCUGGCUAACAGCUUUGACUGAAGCCUGACAUUUUCUUUUUCAAGCUGUUUCAGAGUAAAAUUAACUUGAAAUACUUCUGAAUGGAAGGAAGUCAUUUCAUAGUCCAAAUUAUCUUUUUUCCUUUUGAAUUCUAUUAGAACUUGUCAUUACAGGCCAAUCGAAAGGAUCUAGUACAUAUUUUUUUCUAAAACUUGAAAUAAAAUUUGAAUUUAGUUUAUAUUAAAUUGCAUCUAAUAUAAUCAAAGGGGACUUUGUCUAUAUGGUAGGACAUAUAUAGAAAAUACCAAUAUAGACUUUCUGUAUAUGGUAGGACAAUUUUGAAAACACCAGUGUAGACAAUAAACUGAACAAAAAUAUAAUUAAAAGAACAGAAUUGGAAACCUGAAUUCCAAGCUGUUUAAAUUGAUACCUAAUCUGUUUGCAUUUAACCACAUCAUUAACCUCACUUUGUUUAUUCCUUAAUAGGACUAAGAUUGCCUUUACCCCAGGGAUGUUCAGAUUCUAAACUAUAUGCAAUUUGAGAUCCUUGGAAGACAAGUAAAGAUCUGUGGUGAUGUUGUUAUUGUUCAGUAUUCUUUUAAUAUAUUACUGAAUUAUACGCUUAAGAGUUUGAAAGAACAAAUUGGGUGUUGAUAGAGUCUCUAAUCCCCCCAGCUACUAGAUUAUUUGUUCUUUCACUUUCUCUGUAGUCCCAGGAAAAGCCACUAGUAAGGAAGACUUUUAAAGUACGUAAACCAAAUCAUCUAAACAAAAUUGCCAUCUAUGAACACACAGUUAUCACUCAUUUGGAUUACAUUUUAAAAACUUUCAGUCUAAUGUAUCAUAAUCUUCAUGUAAUUAUGAUAUUCCCAUUUUUCAGAUGGAAAUAUGGGCACUGAGAAAUUAAGGGAGAAGCCCAAUGAUGAGAACUGGAAUCAUUUAUCUCUUGUGGAACUUUCCACUCUGUUUCUGUGGUUCUCAUAAUAGAAACAGAAAGGUCUGAAGGUUUAAGCUUUCAGAGGACAAUAAUGCAGAUAUGAUGCCUGGGGAAUAAUGUAACAUGCUUAAUUUGUUGGAUAACAAAGCAGGCUUAUUCAAGUCUCUUUGAGAUAAAAGGAAAGUCAAGCAAAUGGCAGAGAGUAAUUUAUCCUUACAAUAUUUUUAAAGUAUCACUCCCAAACACUCAAAUUUAAGGGACUCUUCUUUUUUCUUUUUGUUCAUUUGAUUACCCGAUAGUUUAUAAAUCGCGGGUCUGUUUCGUACAUUUUGUACCAGACAAGUCUGGGCAUACAAAGAUUGUAGAGAGUUCACAAAAGCCACUUAACAUACUUGGUUGUCAUUUAAAUUAUGACUUUGGAAACAAAAGAAGACAAGCCCUUUUACAGUGAUAGGCAGGUUUACAUAAAUUGCUACAUGAACUGAAUUCAGGAUAAUUUCAGUUCAUAUUGAAAAAUUCUUCCAUUGACACUCUGCCAUAAUACUCUAUAAUAUUUUGCAAAAUAUUCACAGUGAUUAAUAAGCAUGACAGUUCCACCAACUUCUCUUCUGUGUACUCAUUAUGUAAGUCAUGGAAUCUGCGGCCCCACCUACUCCCAGGCUUUCCAUGAAUGAUUGGAUGAAAUAUAGCUUUUCCUCCAAAUAUCCUGCCACAUUAUAAACCAAGAAAAGAAAGCCCAGAGACAAGACUUAGGAGCACAGAUGAAACUUGAGUUUUGUAAAUUUGCUUCCCCUAUUAUCUCUCUUGCAACAAUUUCAGUUCAAUGACUCAAGAAUAUCCAAGGAAGAGAAGAAAGAGGAGAAGUUAAAAGAACUAAAAAAAAAGAAAAGAAAAGACCCCUGCAGUUCAUGUAUUCUCAGUGGCCCAGAGCACUGCAGUGGGUACGUGUAUUUGGAGAGGUUAGCAGUAUAAGCCCAGGUAGAGGCAGAUUGGAGUUUAAUCCCUGCCUAUAAUUUACCAGCAGUUUUCUGCAUCUCAUCUAUAAAAUGGGGAAAGUCACUUCCGCUUCAAAGAACUAUUUUCAGGGUUAAAUAAAAUACCCAAUGUUUAUUGCUCAGUGAUGUGUCUGACAGAACAUGUAUUCCAUAAGAGUGGUUAUUGUGGUUGUUAUACAUGCUUUGAGUCAGUCUAUAAAUUUAUGCUAAAUACAAAGUGAAAUAUUACUAGAAAAGACCAGGAAAAGACUGUUCAGAGGAGUGAAAUAUUUGUGUUAUGUAAUUAAAAAGGAAGGAAGUUUCUUACUUUAAUAACAUACAGUCAGAGAACUAUAUGCAUAAAUUAUGGUAAAACUUGCUUUAAUGAAUAAAAGAAGAAUAUAUAGAUAUCAGUGUUAGAUUUCAAUUCUAGAAUUAUCCUUUCAGCAAUUUCUUUACUUUUGCUCUUUGGCUCUCUCGACUUCCACCCUUUGAGGGAAGUAGUGGGGAUAGUAUAGUAAAACUACAUGUGUGGGGGGAAGUGAUAUCUAUAUCUCUAUUUAUCUACCUACCUACCUCCUUAUCAUCUAUCACCUACUACACAAAAUAAGAUAUAUAAGACAGUGAUUAUUUUAAGAUUAUAAUAAUUUUUUUCUGUAAGUAGACUUUUUUAUUUUAAAAGAAUUUGAUUCCUUUAAAAAAGACUUUAUUUAGAUUGUAUAUGAUGUGAUGUUUUCACAUAUUGACACAACACACAUAUGCAUGUAGUAAAGCAAUUACUACAGUCAAAAUGUUACAUAACCCUCUUCUCACAUAAAUUCCUUUUUCCUCUCUUUCUCUUUUGUGUGGGUUAAGAAUGCUUAAAAUCUACUCUGACAGUAGCAAAUUUCUAGUAUCCAGUACAAUAUUAUUCACUAUAGUUUUUAUGUUGUAUAUUAGCUACCCAGAACUUCUUUAUUUUAGAUAACUGUGUCUUUGUACCCUUUGACCUAUCUCUCCUAAUUUCCUUCAUUUUUCCCUUAAAAUUAUUUUAAGGGCCAAAAAUUAAUCUAAUGUAGGGGCUGGGGAUGUGGCUCAAGCGGUAGCACGAUCGCCUGGCAUGCGUGUGGCCCGGGUUCGAUCCUUAGCACCACAUACGAACAAAGAUGUUGUGUCUGUGGAAAACUAAUAAAUAAAUAAAUAUUUAAAAAAAAAAUUAAUCUAAUGUAGACAUACAUAUUCUCUUUGUAAAACCAUUUACAUUAUUGCUUAUCUAAUUAUUUUGUGAUUUAUAUAAUUAAAAAUUAACCUCAAAGGGGUUGUGAUUUGGAUAGGGUACAUGAAAUAUCUUCUGGAGUGGAUGACAACAUUUGAUUCCUUAAUCUGUGCUGGGAGCCAUUAGCCAAGUAGGUAUGACAGUUUCCUUGCCAGCGUACCCCAUGUUGCUGACAUGUUGCAGUGACAUUGAAUGUAGGUGACCUUGCUCAAGGACCAAGGCAGAUUAGGGUGUUCCCGGUUUUAAGAUAAUCGUGUUUAGGGCGUUCCCAGUUUAGGUUCCAGGUUUAAGGUUUAAGAUUAUUCCUGCUGUGAAUAGGGCGUAUCCUGCUGCCUGAGUUCCCCUUGAGUUCUCACGGGAUUUAGACAGUAUAUUUUGGAGAUAGAAGCCCAGUGGAGGUGGAUUUGGGCAGAGAACGUGGAUUUCCC
rnacentral:lncRNA from 1 species